rnacentral:lncRNA from 1 species
GGAAGUGAUUUUGCCUUUAACGUCUGGAUAUUAUUGUUGUUUCUUCUAGGGUUCAGCAAGGACCUCCUUCUCUUUCCUCAGCUGCGAGGGCAGUGUCUUGGGGACCGGUAGUCCAUGACUGGCUGAGGAGACUGCCCUGGGCCACCUGCCACCAUCACUGUGGUUCCCUGUCAGCACCCUGUUGUUCUCAGUGGCGAGUUCUGCCCUUACGGAGACGCUAUGCACAACUGAUGAGGAAUUCUCAGCAUCAUUUGGGGCUCGUCCGGAAUGUGACUCAAGCAUACCCUUUCGAAAGCCUGGUGUUAUGGACUGCCUGUGCGUCCCCCCAAAAUGUGUAAGUCUUAAUCCUCAGUGCAACGGUCUUUGCAGGUGGGGUCCGUGGGAGGUAAUUAGGUCAUGAGGGUGGAGUCCUCAUGAAUGAGAUUAGUGUCCUCAUGAGAAGAGGCGUGAGUGAGAGCAUCUCUUGCUCUCUCUCUCCCUCUUGCUCCCUCUCUCUACCACGUGGGGCCACAACAAGAAGUCAGCUGUCUGAAAGCUGGAAAGAAGACCCUCACUAGGAGCCGGAUCUACCAGCAUCUUGACGGUGGGCUUCCAGCCUCCAGAACUGUGCGCAAACAACCUCCGCUGUUUAAGCCGCCCAGGCUGUGGUGUUUCGUGAGCUGACUGAGACCUAGUAAAAAGUUGGGGUGCCAUGCAAUAAGCAGAGUCCUUGCCUUGGCCCGCCUGGCUCCCACCAGGCCAGGCAAGCAUCCACACUUCCACCCAUCCCUCUUUACAGAGGGGCUGUUUAUCUGAGUAGCCACAGUGUUCUAGGCCCUGGGGAUGGAGCAGUGACCAAAACAGACAAAACUCCCAGCCCUCAGGGAGCUGAGCGCUGUUAGAGGAGUUAGAGGCAGAUAGGAUGGUAGGAAAACUCCACGUCCUCGUUGUGUUGGUAUCAGAAGGUGGUGAGUGUACUGGGGAAAAUACAGCAGAGAGGGCCUGGGAAUGUAGUGGGGCCUCGGGCCCUCACUGACCUGGAUCCUACCUCUCCCUGGCUCGAGCCUCCCUGGUUACCCCAUGGUCUCUCCCUGAUGCAUGGGAGCCUUUUCUGG